rnacentral:rRNA from 1 species
GAAACUCACUUGGUCAGGACACUGUAAGGAUUGACAGAUUGAAAGCUCUUUCUCGAUUCAGUGGAUGGUGGUGCAUGGCCGUUCUUAGUUGGUGGAGUGAUUUAUCUGGUUAAUUCCGAUAACGAACGAGACUCGAGCUUGCUAACUAGGCGCAGAUUUAUUCUGACUGUAGAGCUUCUUAGAAGGACAGGAGGUUAUAACCUCAUGAGAUUGAGCAAUAA